rnacentral:tRNA from 1 species
AAAGAGCAUAGUUUAAUAGGCAAAACAAGAAGCUUCAGAUUUCAUGUUCUCAGUUCAAGUCUGAGUACUCUUG